UACUAGUCCACAUUGGGCACAGCCUACAGUAGCAGUUGGUUGCCUACAGAGCAGAUGGGUGAUAACAUUGGUUCUGAUAGAAUGGAAUCUCCAAUCUACUGGUUCUCAAAACACUGAGUUUGAUUUUCAGUUUGUUGGUUUUGUUUCCUGGUGUUCAGGGGGGUUACUACUUCAAAUGGCCUAGCUGAAGGAUAGCCCUGGUAAGAAGUGACAUCACAAUAGGAGACAUAAUUCCAGGCUUCUGUGUCCCUGCAACCCGGGGAAACAGGGUCCUUCAUCCAUCCUCCAGCUAUUGGGUCUGAGCUGCCAGCCUGCUUGCUCCACUCCUUCAGCUUACUCCAGCCCCAACACUGCUUGUUGGACAGAGAAGUGAUCAUAAAGACAUCUCCCCAGUGAAGAUCUACCUCCCAGUUUUUGUUGUGCUUGUAGGAACAGUACCUACAACAUCCAAAACAGCUGCCUAAGCAAACAGGAAUGAUUUAUAUACUAACCUUAGGUUGCUCAUCAUCUUAGUCACUUUAUCCCCUCUGACUUAUUUUGUGAAGAGCUACAAGAACUAUGGUUUCCAGAUCUGUGAAGGGAAGGUGCCAAUGGAGUCCUCACAUGUAUUCUUUCUCUCCCUGCAUAAUUCUUGCUGUGGGUCUAUGCACUAACUCCCAUCUAAGGUACUCUGGAGGCUAUGGAAAGAGAAACCUAACACCACUGUGAAUCCGCAAGUAGAUGGCAUUGUUAUAGUUUUAUAUGCUAAAAG